AUCUAUACGGUGAAACUGCGAAUGGCUCAUUAAAUCAGUUAUCGUUUAUUUGAUAGUACCUUACUACUUGGAUAACCGUGGUAAUUCUAGAGCUAAUACAUGCUAAAAACCCCAACUUCGGAAGGGGUGUAUUUAUUAGAUAAAAAACCAAUGCCCUUCGGGGCUCCUUGGUGAUUCAUAAUAACUUAACGAAUCGCAUGGCCUUGUGCCGGCGAUGGUUCAUUCAAAUUUCUGCCCUAUCAACUUUCGAUGGUAGAGUAGUGGUCUACCAUGGUUUCAACGGGUAACGGGGAAUUAGGGUUCUAUUCCGGAGAGGGAGCCUGAGAAACGGCUACCACAUCCAAGGAAGGCAGCAGGCGCGCAAAUUACCCAAUCCCGACACGGGGAGGUAGUGACAAUAAAUACUGAUACAGGGCUCUUUUGGGUCUUGUAAUUGGAAUGAGUACAAUUUAAAUCCCUUAACGAGGAACAAUUGGAGGGCAAGUCUGGUGCCAGCAGCCGCGGUAAUUCCAGCUCCAAUAGCGUAUAUUAAAGUUGUUGCAGUUAAAAAGCUCGUAGUUGAACCUUGGGCCUGGCUGGCCGGUCCGCCUCACCGCGUGCACUGGUCCGGCCGGGCCUUUCCUUCUAGGGAACCUCAUGCCCUUCACUGGGUGUGCUGGGGAACUAGGACUUUUACUUUGAAAAAAUUAGAGUGUUCAAAGCAGGCCUAUGCUCGAAUACAUUAGCAUGGAAUAAUAGAAUAGGACGUGUGGUUCUAUUUUGUUGGUUUCUAGGACCGCCGUAAUGAUUAAUAGGGAUAGUCGGGGGCGUCAGUAUUCAAUUGUCAGAGGUGAAAUUCUUGGAUUUAUUGAAGACUAACUACUGCGAAAGCAUUCGCCAAGGGAUGUUU
rnacentral:rRNA from 1 species